rnacentral:tRNA from 1 species
GAAAAUCUAGUUUAUCAAAACAUUAAUUUGUCAAAUUAAAAUAACUUUAAGGUGUUUUUCU